rnacentral:rRNA from 1 species
GAUGAACGCUGGCGGCGUGCCUAAUACAUGCAAGUCGAGCGAACGGACGAGAAGCUUGCUUCUCUGAUGUUAGCGGCGGACGGGUGAGUAACACGUGGAUAACCUACCUAUAAGACUGGGAUAACUUCGGGAAACCGGAGCUAAUACCGGAUAAUAUUUUGAACCGCAUGGUUCAAAAGUGAAAGACGGUCUUUCUGUCACUUAUAGAUGGAUCCGCGCUGCAUUAGCUAGUUGGUAAGGUAACGGCUUACCAAGGCAACGAUGCAUAGCCGACCUGAGAGGGUGAUCGGCCACACUGGAACUGAGACACGGUCCAGACUCCUACGGGAGGCAGCAGUAGGGAAUCUUCCGCAAUGGGCGAAAGCCUGACGGAGCAACGCCGCGUGAGUGAUGAAGGUCUUCGGAUCGUAAAACUCUGUUAUUAGGGAAGAACAUAUGUGUAAGUAACUGUGCACAUCUUGACGGUACCUAAUCAGAAAGCCACGGCUAACUACGUG